UAAGAAAACACCUGGCAGUUAGUUGGACGGGAGUCCCCUGAGGGAAUCUGGCGGAACGUUCUGGAUUGUAUUUGCGUAACCUCGAGCCGUUGCCAACGGAAACUAUUUUUCAGUCGGUUUCCAUUGGGAAUUGUUGCCCCUAUUUUAAACGACUGAAGUUUGAUAUUAAAUACAUACUGACACGUACGUCGUACAAUAUGUUGAUCAUUUCCGAUGGUUGCGCCGUACUCUUAACCACGAUGACGUUGCGGGACUCUCACUGCGUACAAAACAGCGUUCUACUUGCGGGCCCAUUUUUGACAUCAAGGAAGGCUUAAAAUCAUUUCAAGAUGGCAGAUAAUUUGACAUUUCUUCAACGGAACCCAGCACCUGAAUAUGGCUGAGUAUAUUUGAUUUAAUAUCGAUACUGCUUAGUGUUCUUUGUUACUUCAGCUUUUGUACGUUCUAAAUAUCUGCUGUCAUUCAUUGCCACAGAAGUUAAACCCUACCCAAUGGAAUGACGUUAAACAACGACUUUGGUGCAGAGUUAACAACUGGAUAAUAUAAAAGCUAAAAUAAUGGCUGUCAUUCCCACAUGUUACAGUAGAAGAUACUCUAGAACUGUACAAGGUUAAAAAGGUAUCAUGUAGUUUGUCCCAAGGUGUCUGCCUCCUUACCCAGAGCAAGACCUCCACCUCCUCACCCAGAGCCAGACCUCCACCUCCUGUCAGAAGUCCUCCAGAACAGCUGAAAGGCGAGGCUGAGAGGCUGGGGUCCGGAGGCUUGUGGUGCCAGGGUGGACCGGAGACUGAGGCUGGAGACCAGGGGCCUGCACCACCGGACCAGAGGACCAGGAAUCCAUGGCUGAAGGCGCUGAUGGAGGAGUCGUGCUGAAGGCCCUGCCUGGUGGAGGAGCUGGUGGAGGGCCUGCCUGGGGAAUGACGUCUAUCGUGGGUUAGAUGGAGCCUGACUCUGAAACCAGGACUCUGUCUGAGGAGAGCUGCUGGAGGAGCUGAGAGGCUGGAGGACGACUAGGAAUUGACCAACAAGGAUUCCUCAACGUGUUUCUGGAGCGGAGGCGAGCUGGUAGGGGAGCCGUGAAUCUGGAGGAUGACCAUCACUCUACCAACAAGGAUUACACACCUGAGCUGAACCUCACCUGAUCCUGACAUCCUGCUGGUCCCGUCUCCUCAGUUCAUCUGAGCCUCGUCCUCCAGAAGACCUGCUGAGCUCAGCAGUCUGAGGCUGAUGGAUCAAUGACCUCCAGUGGGAGUGAUCUUCUUGACCCCACAUGUAACCGUGUGCUUCCACACGCCUUUCCUUCACGUCUGUCACUAACCUCACUACUUCACUACUUUCUACUGCUUCCUCUUUUCUUCCUUCUCUGUGGUUCGAACCUUUACACUGGAGGCGCGUCUCCAUGCCCUCAGAGGGUUCAGCGUUAGGGUUGAGAGUCAGGGUUUAGAGUCAGGGACAGAGCUGGUCAGGGAGGACUGCUUUUACACAAACCUCUUCACUUGCUUUCGGAAUGGUGGUGACAUUUUGAAAAGAUUCAUUUGGGAAAAUGUUUUCCUCUGCUUUCCUUUACAAAAUUGUAUUAAACUUCUGUCAAGUGUUUUUGUUUAUAUAUUAAAAUCCCACAUUGACUUCUACAUGUUUGGUGCGGUUCAUUUAAUUGUUCUUUAACUUGGUUAAUGUCAAGCUAAACUCCUGCAAUACAUUUAAUAUACAUGAUUGUUAUUCAGCAAUGUUCACAUAAUCGAUUUUGUAAAAAUAUGAAACCUCCAUAUUACUACUAAAUUCAAGCCUAUUCAUGUGUAUAACAAUGUACAUAUUGCCCCGCAGGCCAUUCUCUGCUACUACACACGUUCAAUCCACCAACCCGUCUCACAUCAAUGUACUAUAGCUAACGACGUCUGAGCUA